rnacentral:rRNA from 1 species
AAAUUGAAGAGUUUGAUCAUGGCUCAGAUUGAACGCUGGCGGCAGGCCUAACACAUGCAAGUCGAACGGUAACAGGAAGCAGCUUGCUGCUUUGCUGACGAGUGGCGGACGGGUGAGUAAUGUCUGGGAAACUGCCUGAUGGAGGGGGAUAACUACUGGAAACGGUAGCUAAUACCGCAUAACGUCGCAAGACCAAAGAGGGGGACCUUCGGGCCUCUUGCCAUCGGAUGUGCCCAGAUGGGAUUAGCUAGUAGGUGGGGUA